rnacentral:rRNA from 1 species
AGAGUUUGAUCCUGGCUCAGAUUGAACGCUGGCGGCAUGCUUUACACAUGCAAGUCGAACGGUAACAGGGGAGCUUGCUCCUGCUGACGAGUGGCGAACGGGUGAGUAAUGCGUCGGAAUGUGCCAUUUAAUGGGGGAUAACUGUGCGAAAGUACAGCUAAUACCGCAUACGCCCUGAGGGGGAAAGUGGGGGACCGUAAGGCCUCACGUUAAAUGAGCAGCCGACGUCUGAUUAGCUAGUUGGUGGGGUAAGAGCCUACCAAGGCGAUGAUCAGUAACGGGUCUGAGAGGAUGAUCCGUCACACUGGGACUGAGACACGGCCCAGACUCCUACGGGAGGCAGCAGUGGGGAAUUUUGGACAAUGGGGGGAACCCUGAUCCAGCCAUGCCGCGUGUCUGAAGAAGGCCUUCGGGUUGUAAAGGACUUUUGUUCGGGAGCAAAAGCUAUGGCUUAAUACGUCAUGGAUAUGAGAGUACCGAAAGAAUAAGCACCGGCUAACUACGUGCCAGCAGCCGCGGUAAUACGUAGGGUGCAAGCGUUAAUCAGAAUUACUGGGCGUAAAGCGUGCGCAGGCGGUUUAUUAAGUUUGAUGUGAAAUCCCCGGGCUUAACCUGGGAACUGCAUUGGAUACUGGUAGACUAGAGUGCGUCAGAGGGGGGUAGAAUUCCGCGUGUAGCAGUGAAAUGCGUAGAUAUGCGGAGGAAUACCGAUGGCGAGGGCAGCCCCCUGGGAUGACACUGACGCUCAUGUACGAAAGCGUGGGUAGCAAACAGGAUUAGAUACCCUGGUAGUCCACGCCCUAAACGAUGUCAAUUAGCUGUUGGGGGUUUGAAUCCUUGGUAGCGAAGCUAACGCGUGAAAUUGACCGCCU